UACGGCCACUCCAACAACCAUCCCAUCCUAGGACCGUUAGAUUUUUUUUGGUCCAGCGGAAACAGCGUUAGAGGUCAGAUUCCUUGGUACGGUAGUGGUAAAUAUCUCCACCUGUCACUCGGGAGACCGGAGUUCGGGUAGCCAUUUGACGCAACCGUUCUCGUCCGAAAAAUAUAACCAACUAUUAUACAGCCGGAUUAUGCCGGGCGAUUUUUCUAUCACUGACAAACCCGGCACCUGACUUCUAACACUAUUCGGGCGGUUGGGGGAGUAGGGAGUCGUCAUGUGUACAGACGAGGGGAAAUCGCGAUUCUUAGGGAGGUGACUGCAUCAAUUUCACAAACGUUUGACGUUCUUCUUUUAAUAAACAGUAAGAAUUUCUGGAACUGGGUUUACUGCACUUGCACGUCCAUUUGCCAACAAACAAACAAGCGUAUACUGAUUAAACAACAUAGUAAUAGUUUUCGUAGGAAC